UUUUUUAAUUGAAAACUUGUAUGAAUGGUUGAAUAAAAUAUAAACUGUUUCAGUAAAAUAAUUUAGAAUUUUAUUUUUUAGUUAAAAAGCUAAAAUUUUAUUAAAGGACGAGAAGACCCUAUAAAGUUUUAUAUUAUAAAUAUAAUAAUUAAUAAAUAAUAAUUUUAAUUUUUUUAUUAUAAAUAUUUUAUUGGGGUGAUAAUAAAAUUUAAGUAACUUUUAUUUUUUUUUACAUAAAUUAAUGAGUGUAUGAUCCUGUUAUAUAGAUUAAAAAAUUAAAUUACUUUAGGGAUAACAGCGUAAUUUUUUUUUUAAGUUCAUAUUUAUAAAAAAGAAUGC
rnacentral:rRNA from 1 species